rnacentral:rRNA from 1 species
UGAGGAAUAUUGGUCAAUGGACGCAAGUCUGAACCAGCCAAGUAGCGUGCAGGAUGACGGCCCUAUGGGUUGUAAACUGCUUUUAUAUGGGGAUAAAGUGGGGAACGUGUUCCCUUUUGCAGGUACCAUAUGAAUAAGGACCGGCUAAUUCCGUGCCAGCAGCCGCGGUAAUACGGAAGGUUCGGGCGUUAUCCGGAUUUAUUGGGUUUAAAGGGAGCGUAGGCCGUUUGGUAAGCGUGUUGUGAAAUGUAGGAGCUCAACUUCUAGAUUGCAGCGCGAACUGUCAGACUUGAGUGCGCACAACGUAGGCGGAAUUCGUGGUGUAGCGGUGAAAUGCUUAGAUAUCAUGAAGAACACCGAUUGCGAAGGCAGCUUACGGGAGCGCAACUGACGCUGAAGCUCGAAAGUGCGGGUAUCGAACAGG